UGACAGGGGUGUCCUGGUGCCAGGUGGCCACCCACCUAGCCUUGGGUUGGGGGUCAUGGGGACCCUGGACAGGGGUCCAUCAGAAAGGGAAGCUGGGCCACAGAAAGACUGACCCACAUGUUGAGAGAUCGGGGGGGCUUCCAGAAAGAGGCUCCUGUGCGGUGAAUGCGUUGAAAGCACAUGAUUCUAGCAGAGGGAGCAAGGGUGGCCGCAGCCCAGGGAAUCAGGGCUGCCCAGGUGACUGAAGCAGGAGGGGAGUGAGGCCAGAUGGGGGUUGGGGGAGCCCUUGGC
rnacentral:lncRNA from 1 species